UCGUCCAUUAUCCUCUUUUACUCAAUCACGAGAGACGUUUAACGUCUGCGUCAACUUCACACUGAUUUUAGGGUUGUUCAUCUUCUUCAAUCUCAGACAACAAUAAUCUUCUUAUAUGUUCUCCUACACCAACAAUGGAGUUUCAAGAGAGUGGAUGAAUCAAAUCGUUGUGAAGAAUCUCUCUCUCUGGGUCUUCAAUUGUGUCAUUUAAUCUUCUGUUCUAACAUAAAAAGUGAGGAAUCAUCCCCUAAUCAAAACACAAGGUUCGUUCUUCCCUAAUUCAGUUUAAUCAGAAAAAUCAGACAGGGGAUCAGUGGCUUUGCGGCUGUGCCUACACACGAGGCGUGAUAAAUUCACGAGUGACGUUACAAAGGAGGGAGCAAUGCUGGCUAAGAUACAUGAUACGUUUAGCUCAGGAAACAGAGGUGCUACAUGUUCUGAGAAAGUUAAUAUCAGUGUCUUCCGGGUAUAUGUCGUAUAUCCUUUGCUUAACUAGAUGGACACCAUUGAUAAUGGCUCAUGGCACCGGAACUGGCUCUAGGAAAUCUUGAACAUAACCACUGAUCAGCCACAAGGCCAUCAACUAAAACUCCCUUAUCCUUUCAUCUGUAGUCCUAGUAUGCGGCUGGUGAGGAAAUGAUUGUUUAACUCCAUGUUGUGACCCUUUUCCUGUCUGUAUGGAAAGAAAUGCAAUGUACCUUCUGGAUGUGGUCAUGAGUUCUGACCUAAACACCAUAAAUCAAAGACACCACAAGCGACACCAGGAUCAUACACGUGUGGCACGACACUGUCUCUUUCACCAAACUUCCAAUGCAACAAGACCAGCAAGAUCUCAAGAACAAAUAUGCAGAGUGAAGGAAAGGCUCUGUACCACAAGUGGUUACUAAUAAAUAGGAUAAGCAGUCAACUGAAACUCCUUCAGAAGCUUCUAUGUCUUCUACUCUCUAUGAAGUAGGAGGAGGGAGUUGGUUACCUAUUAAGAAUAGGCUAUAUGAAGUACUAUCGCUGUCUGCAGUGUUUUAGAGUUUUCAUGUAAAUCAUGUAAAUUUUGACAUAAACCUUGACAUAAAUUGUAUAUAUACAUCUUAUAGUAUAGACAAA